rnacentral:misc_RNA from 1 species
UUUCAAAAUAAAAAAAUGAUGGAAUUGCAAAUAAUACCAUUCAUAUUUUAACCCUUAGAAAUACUAAAAAAAAUAAUUACAUUGAGGUCAAGAUAAUUUUCACACUUUAAUUCAAAAUCAACAAGUGGAGGAGACAUGUAGAUGUUUUUCAGAGUGCUGGUUUUGUUCUUAUGUUUGCUUGUGUAAGUUGAGCAAUCAGAUGCAGGUUGACGACGCUGAGGUGGAAGCGACCUCAUUUGCGGUAUCUCGUGCGACAGAAGCUGGCAUAUGAACGUUGAUAAUACGAUGAAAUCUACGUGGGACCCACCACCUCGACGCCAAGCUCAUCCCGGAUUCAUACUAUGGUAAUUGGCUUCUUCAUCUUAGUACCAUCAGGCAUGUGUGCUCUGUUUUUGAAGUCCAUCAUGUGUAUCGUGAGUCCAGUAAGGUGGCUCACUGCCUUGCUAAACCGGGCCUCCGUCUUUCAGAGGUGUUUAUGGAUGGAGGAAGUCCCUCCAUCGGCAGCUGAUGCUUUGAACCAGGAUUUGCCUGUUUAAUUUUUAAUACAUUUCCACUGUUUUACUUCUCAAAAAAAAGUUUAAAUGAGAAAGGAUGGAAUGUAAACAUCAUCACCUCAUAAAGCAUAUAAACCAUAGAUCCUUUUUUUUAUAAUACAUACAAGUAAAUACUAUGAUUGUUUUUUGUUUUUUUUUAGUAGGAAAUUGGGUAAGUAGAGACUCAAAUCUAUGCCUUUAGCCAUUGAACCAAACCAGGCUAGGCAAUAAAUACCAUGAAAGUUAUAAUUAAAGAUGUGUAAUGAAUUUUUAAAAUAAGUUAACUUAUUUAUAUAUUAGAAAUAAAGUAAAAUAAAAUGUUAUCCAUGAAGUCCCAGCUAUGUGUUUGAGCUAUCAUGCAUAUAGAUAUGCAUUCAAAGACUUGCCCACAAUUUGGAAACAGAUACAGUAAAAUAGUUCAUUCAUAUACACUUAGAAUACGGAAUGUUUCCUCUCUGAAAUGAAACAUUGUUUUUUAAAAAAUUUUGUGACGCAGUUAUUUUUGUACUGGUACAAAUAAUAUAUUACUCCAAAUGUUUGCAAAAGCCUUCAACAAUCUAGUGAGAAGAAACUUCUUACUUUCUUUUCAGUUGUGAACAGCAAAACAAGGAUCUUGGAGACUUUCUAACUCUUCUUCUACCUGCAUAAUCAUCUAAAACGUUUUAGAUUUUCUUACAUCUGAUAAGUGGUAUGCCAAACAAUAUCUUCAGUUAUAGCUCUUGUAAUCAUGGACAAAUAAAUAACAAAUUCUUACAGAAAAAUGCAAGGGAUCAAGUACAUAAAGAAACAAAUAUAUUUUAAACUUUACCUUUGUUUUGAUUUUAUAUUUCUUCCACUAGAAGCAGAAAUGCUUCUUUUGUGAUCUUUUAUUUUGCUUUUCUUAGCUCUUGAUUUGGAGGUCCCUUUUGUGAUAUAUUUUGGUGACUGGACUUCAGUCCCAUCUGGCUCUGUAUCUAUCACCUCACUGGAAACACCUGAAUAUUCAUCUGAAUCAUCAAAUUUUGUAUCUGUUGCCUCAUUCAUAGAUUGAGGCAUGCCUUCCAUGGAUGGAUCAAUGACUUCAUCUUCAGCAUUAAUGAAUUCUUCACCCUCAUUUCCAGACCUGACAACACGUUCCACAUUUUCAACCUUUUGUUGAUGAAUUUGGGCAUUUCUUGCCGUCACUUCUUGCUCCUUCUUUUCCACGUGGAACUUAUUAAGCUUAUCUUCAAACUCCUCAAUGCAUAACUUAAGCUCUGGUUUUGCAAACUUUUUACCCUUGUUAAUUAUGCUUCUGAAAUGAUCCAUGACAGAAUCCUCAGACAGGACAUGCUCAUAUGUCUUGAAUGAUUCAAUGAGCUUUUUCAUUCCCUUCUCAGCAAAUGAUAGUUGAGAGAGGCAAUAAGAAAUAUAUUCCCACUGCCUAACAUCAGUGACUCCACUAAACCGAUUGCAGAGCUUUUCUACAAGAGCUUCCAUUUGCUUUUCCUUUUUGAUGGAACCAAUUAAGAACUGCAUGAUGUUGCAGAAAGACUCCCUCCGCAGAUUCUGGGAAGACAGUUUGCCAAGUAUAUCUGGAAGUAAAUUAUAUACAGGAUUGCUUCCCUUCUUAGACAACUCAUGGAAGAAAAGUUUAGCCAGAUUUGAUAUCCUCUCAUCUUCAUCUUCUAAACAUAGAGUCAUCUCAUUUAUAUAACCUUUCACCUUCAUCAUGUCAUUUAAGAUGAGAUGUGAAAGAACCAGCACAGCAUUUUUUCUAACAGAGACAGAAGGAUCUCGCAACCGGGCAUACAUAUUCUCAGUCCAUGGCUCUAACAGAUUUGGAAAGCGAACUGCCAAAUCUCCUAGAGCAAUAGUGCAAUUGGAACGGACAGUUUCUGAUGGUGCACUUUCCACAACUGUGAAUAGAAGCUGGAGAUUCGCAUCACAAAAAUUUGCAUCAAUAAUCAUAAAUCUACAAAGAGCGAGCAUUCCAGAUGCCUGGAGUACUGGAUACUUUUGCAUCAAACUAAAAUUUCUACAAAGCUUUGACAAGAAAGGUGCACAAAGCCCUAUCAAAUUCUUCUCACUGGAACCACUGGAAACAAUCUCUUGCUCUGCUCUUUCAGAAAGUGUGUCAAGAAUUGCAUCUUCUGAGGCAGCAAUGCCUAGCUCAGCAUUUAUAUUGUUAUCAUUUGGAGUAUUGGAUGGUUUUAUGCCACCAUUCUGAACAUCAGUAACCAUUUUUUCCUUUGUCUUCUGCUUCUGGAUUUUUCGAACACAGGAUUCUAUGUAUAGCAACUGGUUCAUGGCAAUAUGACUUAUAACAAAUAAAAAUCUACCAAGUUUUGACACUUGAACUGCUGCGAGAUCAUUGUUACUAGAACUGUCAAUGUCAUUCUGCAGUUCAUGUUCUUCACUACAGUCAAAAACAGAACUAAAAGAUUUCUUUACAAUAUCAGCAGCUAAGGUUUCUGGAGUUGGAUGAAUUGUAUAUAUGGCACCUAUUGCUUUAUCAGCAGCAGCAUACCAUAUGUCUUCUGGGAGCAAAAAUCCUGUAAUUAAGCUUUCCAGUAUACCAAAUACACGACUACCAUUACUAACCAACAAUUUUUUUCUAUCCUCUACAGACAAUCUUUGAAUGGCAAUGCAUGCUGUUCUGGCAAGUAAAGGUUCCACUUUAGCCCACCGACCAAAGCCAAUAUCAAUAAUAUCUUGCAAGUGAGAGCCAAGAACUCCAGUGGAUGAUUUUGCAGCCAUGCAAAGCACAGAUAAUGCACCACGGCUUUGUUCUGCUGUGGUUCCACUGAUAUUAAAGCAAAAGAAAUCCCAUAAUGCUGAUAUCGUGCCUGGAGAUAUAUCACCUUUAGACACCAAGGCAUUGAUAAUAAAUUCCAGAGCUGCAAGAUCUCCAAUAUUUGAAUCUAUGGCAAGAUUCAAAAGAUUCUUAGCUGUUUCUGCUGGACUUUUCCUCACAUAAAUAGUAAUAAAUGCAUUCUCCACAGCUUCAUAGAUAGAUUUAUCCUGUGAGAAUACCAGUGGCAACAUCUUACGGAGACAUUCUUCAGCGCCAUCAAUUUGGAACUGUUUGCACCUCAUCAGCAAGAGAAUUGUGUUCUCAACAUCUGUGGCAGAAGAUGAAGCCAUCAAUUGAACAAGAGUAGGCAUUGUGGCAGAGAUGCACUUAGAAAACCUCAAGCCAGCCUCAAGAGAUGCAACCAAGGCCCGAGUUUGCUCCAAGUUCCCAACAUCUGGCACUAAGCUAUCCUUCUGAGCGAUCUUUUCUUCUAGAUGAGGCAGACAACUAUCCGUUAAACUCUCCUGAUGUUUCUCAGCCAACUCUUCAGCAUUUGCAUUAUCAACCUCACCUUCUCCACCAGAGGUAUCACUAUCAGAUUGUAAACCAUCACUAACACUCUGUACAUUUGUAUCAGGUUCAAGCUCAUUCAGUUUCUUCUUAUAUUGCUCUAAGGUUGCUUCAAAUGAAGCUAUUCUAAGUUGCGGACCAAAAGGAUUAUGCUGCAACAUCAUUAUAAGUAAAUUUAAUGCAGCUUUUCUAACCAACGCAGAUUUGUCCUCCAAUCUCCCAGCAGCAACUGCUGCAACCUCAUUCCAGAAACCAAUUGAAACAGAAUGCUCUUCACAUAGUUCAGCCCAAACCUGAAGGACCCGACUCCUAGUAAAAGCAGAAACAUCUCGACACCGUUCAAGUAAAAUUUCCAACAUAGCUUGCUUGGUUCGGAGAUGAACAGAUUUAGAACUCACUUCAGCCUCAACAUCCUUAAAUGCCUUGGCGACCAACUUUCCCAAAACACCAACUAAAGCAUUCCUUAUCUUAUAGGAUUCCCCUCCAAAGUGUGGGACCAAAACACCGAUGUUGGUUGAAAUCAACUUUGGCAGCCGAUCGGCAAGUUCUACUAGAAAACGGCCAACAUUUUCAGCCCCAACAGUGUCCUUCACAUAAGCUUUCGGGUUAGUUCUCCCAAUCUCUCUAAUAAGAGAACAUGCAAGAGUUCCAUCAGCAUAUUUUUUCUCAGCCCCAGCAACUGCAUCAGCCAUGUGUAUAACAACAAAAUCGUAUUUGUGAAUCAGGUGCAAGAUCGAUGCACAUGAUUGUGUUGUGUAAUGGUAUUUUGUUGCACAAGCCCCAAUAACAUGGCAAAGAGCAUCUUUUGUUUCAGAGUCUUUAAGGAGUGAUGGGUUCUCUAACAUAGAGAAGGUGUUUUUCAUAAUGAAUGAAAGAUAAUUUUCAUCUGGGUUUGAUGAUCCAAAAAGCAAAUCAAGGUUGACUUCUAAUGAAUUAGCAAUCAGAUUAAGUAUCCGACCCCUCUGUGGUUCCCAAUUCCAUGAAUGUAAUGGCUGUUUCUUUCUGGUACUUGUUGUCACCUUUAAAUUGGUGUUUGCACUAGCAUUGGACUCCUCUGCGAGAACAAUGUUGAGGAGGAAGAAUGUGUAUAUUUUGAAAGCAUUCCUAUGUGAUGCGACCCUAUCAAGCACAGGAGGAUCAUCAUCGUGGCCUUGAGAAACCCGGGAGAGUGAAUCAACAUUUGGGAGAAGAACACUGAGGUUGGAUCGAAGACUUUCAACAAGAUUGAGUUUACAAGAUGAGGUUAGAUUAGAGAAACCCAAAACCAAUGAGUAAACGCGAUCAAACACAUCUUGUUCUUCAAUACAGAAAAGUUCUUUAUCCGACAGAUCAAAGGACACACCUUUGACGAACUCUUCGAGUUCAGAAGGACGAAGAGAAGCAACGUCGAUUGGGUUCUGAGCGCAGAGACGGUUGUCUCCGGGCUGCUCCUCUUCCAGAGAUCGGAGGCUCUGAGGAAAGACAAAGAGCGGAGCCAUUGUAGAGAGAAGAGGGAAAAGAGAGAGUUUCUCUUUUCUGAGCUUUUGUUUCAAAG